rnacentral:rRNA from 1 species
AUUGAACGCUGGCGGCAUGCUUUACACAUGCAAGUCGAACGGCAGCGCGGGCUUCGGCCUGGCGGCGAGUGGCGAACGGGUGAGUAAUACAUCGGAACGUGCCCAGUAGUGGGGGAUAGCUCGGCGAAAGCCGGAUUAAUACCGCAUACGACCUGAGGGUGAAAGCGGGGGAUCUUCGGACCUCGCGCUAUUGGAGCGGCCGAUCGCAGAUUAGCUAGUUGGUGGGGUAAAGGCCUACCAAGGCGACGAUCUGUAGCUGGUCUGAGAGGACGACCAGCCACACUGGGACUGAGACACGGCCCAGACUCCUACGGGAGGCAGCAGUGGGGAAUUUUGGACAAUGGGCGAAAGCCUGAUCCAGCAAUGCCGCGUGUGUGAUGAAGGCCUUCGGGUUGUAAAGCACUUUUGGCGGGAACGAAAAGGACUGUGCCAAUACCACGGUUCGAUGACGGUACCCGCAGAAUAAGCACCGGCUAACUACGUG